UGGAAAGGAGCAUCAAGCUCAUGCACUGUGCACUUUCAACAACCUGUGAAGUUCAUCAUCAUGUAUUUAUUUAGUGUUUCCAACCGCCAUUUCUCGCAUCAUACAUUUUACUGACAGAAAAAAAUCAAUUUCCAUCAAGCCUGUCCUGACAUUACUUAUCCGACAUGUAGGCCUACUACUCGAAAAAAAAGAGGUUGGAUUGAAACUCGGUUACUGACAAAGAGAAAUAACUACAAGUUUUAAAAAAACGAAAUAUAAAGUUAAUUUCAUGCUGAAACCCAUAUUAAACACCAUCGAUAUUCACUAAAUUGAUGGUUUAUAUUUAGGAUGUUUUACAGCUUUGUCAUUCUGUUUUUUUAUUUUAAAAUCAUCUUAUUCAAUUAUUUAAUACAUUUUACAUGUAUUGCCACACAGAGGGACAGAGAUAAUUACAGACGCCUGUGAUAAUCUAAAGCACCCAAGGGCCACUAGAUAUCUUGUGAUAAAUUACAUAAAAUUCUGUUAGUUUACUGUUAAACUCUAGAACUUUCCAGUAAUAUAUCCUCCAUUUGCAACCCUACUUCAGACCCACAUCUACUCUGAAACAGUCUGGGGACGGCCCCACUACGUCUAAACCAAGCUCCAGCUCUACCAGUGGACCAUCCCAACCAAGGAAGAGGACACAGCACAGAGUAGAUCAAGCCCACAGCAAGAACCUUAAGAAUGCUGAUAAAACCAGAGAGCAUGGGAGUCUGGUAGCGAGAGGACAAGCAGAGACUGGAGGCAGUGGUGAGGCGUCGAUAGACAGAGACCUCUGUCGUUUCAACCCAUUGUUCACCCCUGCAGCAGGCAGCACCGUUACCCCUUCUGUAACCACACACAUCAGACCCUUCAGACCCACACACAUCAGACCCUUCAGACCCACAUCUACUGUGAAACAGUCUGGGGGCGGCCCCACUACGCCUAAACCAAGCUCCAGCUCUACCAGUGGACCAGCCCAACCAAGGAAGAGGACACAGCACAGAGUAGAACAAGCCACCAGCAAGAACCAUAAGAAUGCUGAUAAUACCAGAGAGCAUGGGGUCAGUAGCAAUGGAGGUAGUGAUGAUGGUGACGCCUUACUUAGCUAUAUUAUAAUUUCAACGCUAAGUGAAAUGCCGCCUGAACUGAAGUCCCAAGCUAAAUCAGAUAUGCUGAAACUGCUUUCUGCAAUGCAGGAAAAGUUGUCACAGCAUCAGAGUAGUACCAAUGUUAAUCACUGAUUAUGUUUUUCAACAGUGAACUUCCAUCAUUUAUACAUUAGAAUUCACAUCAGUAUACAUUUUAAAUAGUAGGAAAAUAUGUUCUGAAUGCUACUUGUGCAGAUAUUGCAUUAACUAGAUACUAAAGGACAAAGGCUACAUUGACACAGGCAGCCUAAUUCUUAUCUUUUGCCAAUACAUGGGCAAAGUAUCAGAAUUAGGCUGCUUGUGUAAACAUAGCCUAAGAAUCCACAAGAUUGUGUUUGCCCUGUGAGCUAAAGCUUAGGCAUUAGUUCAGGGAGCCUCAUUGGCUAGUAGUUACACUACAUGUUCAAUUGUAGAAGAUGUUGCACUGUCUACAUCUAUAAAUAAUAAAGCUUGCCAACAUUCUUUCCUGUCAUGCCUGCUAAUAUGAAAAGCUACAGUUUUCCAAAAUAAAAUGUCAAAACAUUGUCUAUUUGUGUCAAAUAUUUGUUUUGUUAACAGACUGAUGGUAGUCUUCUUUUCUGGUACAUGGGUUAUGAGGGAUUGUUUUGUUAACAGACUGAUGGUAGUCUUCUUUUCUGGUACAUGGGUUAUGAGGGAUUGUUUUGUUAACAGACUGAUGGUAGUCUUCUUUUCUGGUACAUGGGUUAUGUGGGAUUGUUUUGUUAACAGACUGAUGGUAGUCUUCUUUUCUGGUACAUGGGUUAUGUGGGGUUGUUUUGUGGCGUGAUUGUGUUUUACUAAUCCGUAUAUGAUACAAGUCUUGUGACGUGACACUUCUUCCAACCUCUCCGAAGACUGACAUGAUGAGAACAGAUGUAGACAAUAGCUCUGGGCUGUAUGCAUCAAGCAUCUCAGAGUAGGAAUGCCUAUUUAGGAUCAGUUUUGUCUUUCAGAUCACAAAGAAUAUGUGGAUAAGGGGGACCUGAUAAUUUACAAAUAAAUAUUUGUGGGAGUGGAAGACCUGAUCCUAGAUCAGCACUCGUCCUCAGGGAUGCUUUAUACUGUACAUUCAGUAUGGCUCCAGAUGCCAAGGCACAUCACAUGACUUAUUGUAAAACCUGACAGAUUCUCUGAAGGAAGUUCUUCACCAACCCUGUGUUUCAGUCUGUAAAUAUUGUUAUUUGACUGGGAUGGUUGCAAGGGUGCAUGUAAACCCAACCCACUAAUAAAUCUGUACAAUAGCCAUGUUAUUUUUGUCGACCUGCUCGUUACCAAUGUUGAUCUGAGUCUGUCUCUCCCAGUAGUCAGGUCCCUGACUUGGCAAUCCACUCCUGUUUAGGAGUCACUCUGCGGAUGUUACUGUCACAGAAUACAUUUGAUAUAUUUUGUAUGGAGUAGCAUAAGUUCCAUGACUGAAGUUGAAAUGAAUUGUUUGGUGACUAGGGUUUCAAGAUAGUAAACUGGAAUACGAUUAAUAAAUUCCCUUUACAGUAGUUUAUCAGUUAUCAAAAUGUCUCCUGGCAGCACCCACAUUAACUUUAGCACGUUUUAUUAUGUAAUAAUGGUUAUGUUUAUUAUGUCCCAGUCAGUAAACUUGUCAAAACAUUCAAAUCACCACAACAUGCAGAGGUUAACAUGUGAGAGGGAGUAAUUAUUUCCAAUUCAACAUAUAAAAUGUCUGAUUCUAAGGCAGGGGUAGACACCAGGACCCCGGGACAAUAUGUAUCAAGCUGCUCACAUUAUUAGUGCUGAUCUAGUAUCCGGUCCUCCCCUGUCCAUGUACUCUCAUUCAUUAUGAUCUAAAACUGAUCAGUAUUAUAAAUAUGAUCAUUUUGGGGCGGAAGGUAGCCUAGUGGUUAGAGCGUUGGGUGCUGGAUCGAAUUCCUGAACUGACAAGGUAAAAAUCUGUAGUUCGCCCCUGAACAAGGCAGUUAACACACUGUUCCCCGGUAAGCCGUCACUGUAAAUAAGAAUUUGUUCUUAACUGACUUGCCUAGUUAAAUAAAGGUUAAAUAUAGAAAUAAAAAAAUGUUUCAUCCUAAAUCUACUUGCCACAGAUUCUUUACAUGAAUGUAAUGCCACAAAAUAUAUAACAAUGUCUGGGUGGUGGUUACAAAAGGUACAAUUUCAGUCAAUGUCUUUUUUAAACUUCUUCAUAUUGUGGUUGGCAGGAUAACAUUUAUUACUCAUUUAAA
rnacentral:lncRNA from 13 species